rnacentral:rRNA from 1 species
AACGAACGCUGGCGGCAGGCUUAAUACAUGCAAGUCGAACGGGCGCAGCAAUGCGUCAGUGGCAGACGGGUGAGUAACACGUGGGAACCUUCCUCGUUGUACGGAACAACUCAGGGAAACUUGAGCUAAUACCGUAUAAGUCCGAGAGGAGAAAGAUUUAUCGCAAAUGAGACGGGCCCGCGUCGGAUUAGGUAGUUGGUGAGGUAACGGCUCACCAAGCCAACGAUCCGUAGCNGAUCUGAGAGGAUGAUCAGCCACACUGGGACUGAGACACGGCCCAGACUCCUACGGGAGGCAGCAGUAAGGAAUAUUGCGCAAUGGGCGAAAGCCUGACGCAGCGACGCCGCGU